GGAGGGACGGAGAAGGCUAGGCCAGCUUGGCGUUGGUUGUCCAAGUUUAAGGUGGUAGGCUGAAAUCUUAGGUAAAUCCGGGGUUUCAAGGCCGAGAGCUGAUGACGAGUCGUCUUUUAGAUGACGAAGUGGUUGAUGCCAUGCUUCCAAGAAAAGCUUCUAAGCUUCAGGUAACCAGGAACCGUACCCCAAACCGACACAGGUGGUCGGGUAGAGAAUACCAAGGCGCUUGAGAGAACUCGGGUGAAGGAACUAGGCAAAAUGGCACCGUAACUUCGGGAGAAGGUGCGCCGGCUAGGGUGAAGGAUUUACUCCGUAAGCUCUGGCUGGUCGAAGAUACCAGGCCGCUGCGACUGUUUAUUAAAAACACAGCACUCUGCAAACACGAAAGUGGACGUAUAGGGUGUGACGCCUGCCCGGUGCCGGAAGGUUAAUUGAUGGGGUUAGCGCUAGCGAAGCUCUUGAUCGAAGCCCCGGUAAACGGCGGCCGUAACUAUAACGGCCCUAAGGUAGCGAAAUUCCUUGUCGGGUAAGUUCCGACCUGCACGAAUGGCGUAACGAUGGCGGCGCUGUCUCCACCCGAGACUCAGUGAAAUUGAAAUCGCUGUGAAGAUGCAGUGUAUCCGCGGCUAGACGGAAAGACCCCGUGAACCUUUACUGUAGCUUUGCACUGGACUUUGAGCCUGCUUGUGUAGGAUAGGUGGGAGGCUUUGAAGCGUGGACGCCAGUUCGCGUGGAGCCAUCCUUGAAAUACCACCCUGGCAUGCUUGAGGUUCUAACUCUGGUCCGUAAUCCGGAUCGAGGACAGUGUAUGGUGGGCAGUUUGACUGGGGCGGUCUCCUCCUAAAGAGUAACGGAGGAGUACGAAGGUGCGCUCAGACCGGUCGGAAAUCGGUCGCAGAGUAUAAAGGCAAAAGCGCGCUUGACUGCGAGACAGACACGUCGAGCAGGUACGAAAGUAGGUCUUAGUGAUCCGGUGGUUCUGUAUGGAAGGGCCAUCGCUCAACGGAUAAAAGGUACUCCGGGGAUAACAGGCUGAUACCGCCCAAGAGUUCAUAUCGACGGCGGUGUUUGGCACCUCGAUGUCGGCUCAUCACAUCCUGGGGCUGAAGCCGGUCCCAAGGGUAUGGCUGUUCGCCAUUUAAAGUGGUACGCGAGCUGGGUUUAGAACGUCGUGAGACAGUUCGGUCCCUAUCUGCCGUGGACGUUUGAGAUUUGAGAGGGGCUGCUCCUAGUACGAGAGGACCGGAGUGGACGAACCUCUGGUGUUCCGGUUGUCACGCCAGUGGCAUUGCCGGGUAGCUAUGUUCGGAAAAGAUAACCGCUGAAAGCAUCUAAGCGGGAAACUUGCCUCAAGAUGAGAUCUCACUGGGAACUUGAUUCCCCUGAAGGGCCGUCGAAGACUACGACGUUGAUAGGCUGGGUGUGUAAGCGUUGUGAGGCGUUGAGCUAACCAGUACUAAUUGCCCGUGAGGCUUGA
rnacentral:rRNA from 1 species